rnacentral:lncRNA from 1 species
UAUUUUGUUCCAAAGAGUAUAUUAGCUAGAGUUUCUUAAUGAAAGAGAUAAUAUUAUGUGAUAUUCGAGUCCAGCUAUUAUACUUUUAUGAGUAUGAUCCGGAAUGGGGUGUUUUCUACUUUAACAGUGUAGAAAAAUUAAUAUCGAUUGACUUUUUAAUAGAAAAUUCUAUUUACUAGUUAGAUCAAGAUUAAUAAUUCUGAUUUUGAAUUGAAAAUGAUUUUGAAUUGAAAAUUUUAAUUUUCUAAUUUUAGGAGGUCUUUCGAUUUUAAUUGUUGAUUUUAUACUUGCUCGAUGGAUUCUAUUAUAAUUUCAAAAAAGUUAGAAAUUUAAU